CUCGCUAUUGUUCCAUCUGCAACUGAGCACCUUUUCUGCAGAAAGUAAAGACAGCCUUGCUAAGAGAUCAUUUGUCUCCAAGCUGACUUUUCUUUGCAGCACCGAUUAUCUAUUUCUAACAAUUUUGGGGGCUCGUCCAGGAUUACAGUCUCCUCUAGGGUGGGUCUCCAGUCCUCUCUUGUGAGAAGGCAUGCCCCACUACCUCGUUUUUGGCAGCCUCAGGGGUGAGGAACCGAGAUCCACCCAGUGUGAUGAAUAAACUGGGACUCUCAGCAACGUGGAAAGAAACUGGCUAGCAACGUAGGGUAAAGGAUCCUCACAUACUGCGGUAAUGACUCUGCACAGACCAAGGAAGGAGAAACCAUGGGAGCUGGUCUUUCAGCAGAGGCGCCGCCUUUGGAGUUUCCAGUACAUCAGCAUCGGCCUGGGGAUCACGUUCUCAUCAAAGGGUGGAAAGAAGGGAAACUUGAGCCAGCCUGGGAAGGACCCUGCAUUGUGCUGCUAACCACCGAGAUUGCUGUUUGUACAGCAGAAAAGGAUGGACACAUCACACCCUAGUCAAGCAAGUGCCAUUAUCAUCAGAAUCAUGGGUCAUUGUUCCUGGACAAUCCUCUACCAAAUUAAACCUAAAAAAAGCUUAGUCCAUCUAUCUUUUCCUUUCCUUUCCUUACCCAGUGCUUAUAUCCAUUACUAUUCCUACCACUAGCAACUCUUACCCCACUUUAGAGCACUUCUAUGGUUUAGGAGCAGAAGUCACUGGAAAGGAUCCUAUAGGCUUCUUCAAGGUAUGCUUUGUUCUCCCUCCUCCACCUCCUAUGGCUGCCCCUUUCCCAAACCUAUGAAAUCAAACUAUGACUCGCCUCAUGCCAAGUGACAAAAGCAAGGUCUCAGUAGUAGAAAUAGGAGACCUAAGGCAAACCAUAGCCAUUGAAACAGGGUAUAAAGAUGUAAAUGCCUGGUUAAAAUGGAUUAAAUGUUCUGUCCACAUGUUAAACAAAGGCAAUUGUUAUGCUUGUGUGCACUGCAGGCCAGAGGCCCAGAUUGUCCCCUUUCUACUAGGGCGGUCCUCCAGUCGACCGGGCGUGGGCUGCAUGGCAGCUCUCUUACAGGAUUCUACAGCCUGCGGUAACAAGUUGUGCCAAGUUCUCUCUCUGCUAUAUCCCAAAUUUCAACACCCUGCAGGUCAGCCCCCGAGGGCCAUCCAGCUUCCAUCUCCCAACACAAAGUUCACUAAGUGUCUCAGACUGAGAGACAGGACUAGCUGGAUUUCCUAGGCUGACUAAGAAUCCCUAAGCCUAGCUGAGAAGGUGACCACAUCCACUUUUAAACACGGGGCUUGCAACUGAGCUUACACCUGACCAAUCAGAG
rnacentral:lncRNA from 1 species